rnacentral:rRNA from 1 species
GAUGAACGCUGGCGGCGUGCCUAAUACAUGCAAGUCGAGCGAACAGACGAUGAGCUUGCUCCUCUGACGUUAGCGGCGGACGGGUGAGUAACACGUGGAUAACCUACCUAUAAGACUGGGAUAACUUCGGGAAACCGGAGCUAAUACCGGAUAAUAUAUUGAACCGCAUGGUUCAAUAGUUAAAGACGGUUUUGCUGUCACUUAUAGAUGGAUCCGCGCCGCAUUAGCUAGUUGGUAAGGUAACGGCUUACCAAGGCGACGAUGCGUAGCCGACCUGAGAGGGUGAUCGGCCACACUGGAACUGAGACACGGUCCAGACUCCUACGGGAGGCAGCAGUAGGGAAUAUUCCGCAAUGGGCGAAAGCCUGACGGAGCAACGCCGCGUGAGUGAUGAAGGUCUUCGGAUCGUAAAACUCUGUUAUUAGGGAAGAAAAAAUGUGUAAGAAACUAUGCACGUCUUGACGGUACCUAAUCAGAAAGCCACGGCUAACUACGUG